rnacentral:tRNA from 1 species
GCGGAUAUCGUUUAGUGGCAGGACACCUCGUUGCCAACGAGGAAGUGCGAGUUCGAUUCUCGCUAUCCGCA